rnacentral:ncRNA from 1 species
GCACGAUAAAGGCAAACCUUGGGUGAUCAGGGGACGCAAAGUAACAGGGUCUUUAUCUGUACAAAGAAGUACGGAUAAAAAUGAAAUUUUCAUACGUAUACGGAAAUAACGUAUCCCUAAGACAGCCUUACUACCAAA